GGGCCAUAGCUCAAUGGAAGAACAUAUGCCUUGCAUGCAGAAGGUCCCAGAUUCAAACCCCAGCAUCUCCA